GUCGUCUAUUUGGUCACAUCUGAUAAAUUGGAACGAUACAAAGAAGAUUACGUACAAUUCUUGUGCAAGGUUGACACGAACAAUCAAACAAAUGUCCAAGUUUUGU